CCUAAAAUCCCCAAAUUCAUUCGGAAAUCCUAAUUUCCCAAAUUGAAAACCCUAACCCUAGCACCCCUUACCACAGCCACACCCCAACCCUUCUUCCUUGCCUCAGCAGCAACGCAUACAAGAUUUCCUUUUAUGAAAGAAAGAAAAGCAAAAAGCAAGGGGGAAAACUGGGGAAGGGACUGUCGAUCUGAGAAGAGAGGAAGGAUGGCGCCGGCGGGCGUCACUGCUGCCGCGCCGCCAUGUUGCACCAGGGAGGAUGAGAGAGCGAGGAACGGACAAGAGAGAGAGAGGGUCGCGCCGCCAUGGUUGUCCAGGGAGAACGCCGGGGAAGGAGAUGUUGCUGCGCUGCCCGGAACCGCGUCCAACUCGCCGCCGUUCAGGCUCCAGUUGCUGUCACCAUCGUGCAGUCGCCGCCGCGAAGUAGCCUCGCAUCCGCCGCCGUCUUCGCGGGGUUUGCGUGACCUUGGUCGCUCCUCACCGUGGAGCCCAUGUUGUCGCCGUUCAGCUCUGCCGCCGCCGUCACUCGCUCCUUUGCCGUUGAAGGUGGUCAGUCACCGAUCGGGUCUGGGGGAGAGCGAACGCGACAGCCAGAGAGAAAAGCAACACUGCUGCCAUCGCUGCUGUCACCGUGGUGGCCGCCGUCACGUCCUGUUCACCGUCGCCGUUGAUUUGCCUUAGAGCCACUGUGUCACGCGUCACCGACGGAGAAUAGAGAGACGCACGCAGAAGAGAAGCCCGCGACCAGCCUUGUCGCCGUCACCGCGGGUUGCCGUCGCCAAACCACCGCGCCGCCGUAGCUGUCUCCGGGAAGGUCGUUGGAGCUUGCUGAGGAUAUUGUUCUGGUUCUGAAGCAAUCCAUCCAUGUCAGUGCUCAUUUUUAUCCCCUGUUCUGCCUCUGCCUCUGGGUUCUGUGAGUUGCCGGAGCUCUCUGCCACCAGGAACCAACAUUCGAGCUGCCCAGGAAACCACCAUUAGAACCACUACUGUUUUGAGAUUAUUGUAAAUUACCUUGCCGCCGCCGUUACUGGAGGUAGCUGCCGGCACUAUUUGGAGGCUGCUGCUAAGUCACCACCGAAGCUAAGAACAGGUGCUAGGAUUUGAUGGAGCACAGCUGCUGCUGUGGAUUCGUAAUAUUGGGUUUACCGCGUUUAAAUUCUUCAAUUACGGCUAAUUGAGUGACACAGGUUUGAAGAUUCAGUUUGAAGCUGCGGGCGAUUCUAGAAUUUACUUACGAGUUAAGUUUAUGACUUG